AAUUCAAGCGCGCGCCGAGUGUCGCGCAAGCCAGCGAAAGAACACGCCGGCCCCGCGGCGGCAACUUCAACAGAGGGGGAAAGCGCAUACGCCUCAAGCGACGACGCUAACAACGGCGCGACGUCUGGAACAAGGUUCGGCGAAGC
rnacentral:lncRNA from 1 species